rnacentral:rRNA from 1 species
UACGUAGGUGGCAAGCGUGUCCGGAUUUACUGGGCGUAAAGAGCGCGCAGGCGGUCGUUCAAGUCGCGUGUGAAAGCCCCCGGCUCAACUGGGGAGGGUCACGCGAUACUGAUCGACUCGAAGGCAGGAGAGGGAAGUGGAAAUUCCCCGGGUGUAGUGGUGAAAUGCGUAGAUAUCGGGGAGGAACACCAGUGGCGAAGGCGCUGACCUGGACGAGAUUGA